rnacentral:rRNA from 1 species
AGAGUUAGCCGUCUCUUCCUCUUGAGGUACUAUCAACCUUGCACGCUUCUCACGCACAAGGCUUGCUCCCUCAUGACAGCGGUUUACAAUCCGAAGACCUUCUUCCCGCACGCGGCGUCGCACCAUCAGGGUUUCCCCCAUUGUGAAUGAUUCUCGACUGCUGCCUCCCGUAGGAGUCUGGACCGUGUCUCAGUUCCAGUGUGGCCGAUCAGCCUCUCAGCUCGGCUACCCAUCGCAGGCUUGGUGGGCUGUUAUCUCACCAACUACCUAAUGGGGACGCGAACCCCUCCUUCAGCGGAUUGCUCCUUUGACCUCAUCCCGAUGCCGGGUCGUGGUCUUAUGCGGUAUUAGCACUUGUUUCCAGGUGUUAUCCCCCUCUGAAGGUCAGGUUGUUCACGCGUUACUCACCCGUUCGCCACUAAAAUUUAUCUUCCAUCCGAAAACUUCCGAUAAAUCUACCGUUCGACUUGCAUGUGUUAGGCACGCCGCCAGCGUUCGUCCUGAGCCAGAAUCGAACCCUGA